rnacentral:tRNA from 1 species
UGGGUUGUAGCUCAGUGGUAGAGCACUUGCUUAGCAUGUGUGAGGCACUAGGUUCGAUUCUCAGCACCACAU